ACACAUUAUACUGAUUGUAGGCUCAACAAGAAGGCACUGGCAAUCACAGCUCCCAAGUGAAUGAAUCCAGAUGAUAUGUGAUGGGGUGAGGCCAGAAACAAAGGCACUUCUGACUGCCACCUCUAAGAAGAAGCCCAAGGCAGGGAAGGGAGAUACAGGAAAAGAGGAUGAAAGCAGCAAGGUUGACUCAGUCCAGCCUGUUCAUAUCACUCUUCUCUUUAAAAGAUACGUCUUUGAUGCACAGAAGAAAAUGAUUCAGUCUUGAGAAACAUUCGAGGUGUCCUUUAAAGGCUGAACACCAAAAAGCAUUUCCCAUGGACUCUAGACCAUUCUUAUUGGCCUUACAGAUGCUUUAGAUAUUUCUGGCUUUGCUGUUCCAAUCUGCUGUGCUGCAGGUAGAUGGCACCUGUUGAAACUAUUAAUUCACAGCUAAUGCAAAUACUUCUGUAUCAUUUGUAUUUUAUAUGAUGCUUUGUGAUUGUCUGUAGAUUGAACCCAUAAGUGAAAUUUCACCACCCUGACUUGAUGGAAAGGCAAAAUGUAAACACAGUGCAUGUUGAAACUAAAUUGGAUGUUUAAAUUCUUUUAUGUUUAAUAAUCCAAAUGCGCUGUUUGUAAGGCAGGGAUUAUUUUGUAAAUGAGGUUUGUAUCUUGAGUACCAUUUAUAACUGGCUUCAGUGUCAGAACAUCCUCAGGGAUGUACAUAAUUUCAUGGUAUACGUUGUUAACCUUUUCUGUUUAAUGCUUUGGUAUAAUACUUCUACACAAGCUUUCUGAAUCUGCUGGUUAAUGUUUUCCUAGGAAAGCUGAGAAAAUAAGCAACUCUGAGCUACUCUUAAGAAGUUUUGCUGAAUGUGAAUGCUGCUCAUGUCCCCAAAAGCAACUUAAUUGUGAUUACCAAAGUGUCAAAUUGCGAGAAUAAAUAUUUUAAGUGGCUUGA